GAAAAUGUACAGAAUAAGCAAAUCCAUAGAAACAGAAAAGAAAUAAGUGCUUGCCAGUGGUUGGGUAUUGGAGGAAUGGGAGUGGCUGCUAAUUGGUAUGGUGUUUAUAAUGCGACGAAAUGUUUUGGAAAGAGAUAUUGGAGAUGAUUGCUCAACCUCGUGAAUAUAUUAACAUCGAUUGAAUUGUACCUUUAAAAUGGUAGACUUCAUGAUUGCGUAAGAGGAAGAUGUAUGUCACAUCAAAGAAUUCUUUGCUAGUCCUAAGUCCUGAAAUUUCUCCUUUUUCUUCCUAAACUUUUUAUGGUUUUAUAUUUUACAUGUAACUUCAUUUUCAUAUUCUGCAAAACAUAAUUCUGGUCGACUACAUGAGUGGCAUGAUGCUAAUGUGACUUAUGAGCAAGAAGUGGCAAAUACCCUACAUGCCCAAGUAAGUACAUAGUGAGAAAUAAUUCCAUAGAGAUUCAGAGGCCUACCAUAUUGUUGAAAUUUUGAAGAAUCCAGCAAUCCAAUACAUGUGUUAUAAGGUAAAGACAGGUGGUAGAAUAUUGCGCCAUCUAUGAUAAAUAAAAAAGCAUAGGCCAAGCAUGGUGGCUCACACCUGUAAUCCCAGCACUUUGGGAGGCCAAGGCU